AACGAACGCUGGCGGCAGGCUUAACACAUGCAAGUCGAGCGCCCCGCAAGGGGAGCGGCAGACGGGUGAGUAACGCGUGGGAAUCUACCUUUUGCUACGGAAUAACGCAGGGAAACUUGUGCUAAUACCGUAUGUGUCCUUCGGGAGAAAGAUUUAUCGGCAAGAGAUGAGCCCGCGUUGGAUUAGCUAGUUGGUGGGGUAAAGGCCUACCAGGGCGACGAUCCAUAGCUGGUCUGAGAGGAUGAUCAGCCACAUUGGGACUGAGACACGGCCCAAACUCCUACGGGAGGCAGCAGUGAGGAAUAUUGGACAAUGGGCGCAAGCCUGAUCCAGCCAUGCCGCGUGAGUGAUGAAGGCCCUAGGGUUGUAAAGCUCUUUCACCGGAGAAGAUAAUGACGGUAUCCGGAGAAGAAGCCCCGGCUAACUUCGUGCCAGCAGCCGCGGUAA
rnacentral:rRNA from 2 species